CUCCGCGGGGCGCCGGCGUCUGCGCCAAGGCACGUUCUCCUGCUGCUCCAGAACUGCCACCUUCCAAGUCCUGAAGGAGGCCGUUUUCCUGUCAUUUGCACCUGGCCGGAGCCAUUCUGGAUGUUUUAAGGAAACGAGAAAACCAUUCUUUCCUCUUACCGGAUGAUGUGCGAUGUCAUUUGGAAACAAAGAAGGGCUCUGUUUCUUGGAGCCCCUGGGUUCUGUCUGCAAGAGGGGCAGUCAUGAGGCUUGCAAGGCAGGGAGUGGGUAGGAUGGUGCUACAAGCGGCCGGGAGGUGAUGGGGUGCAGGGAAAUAGACAUUUCCAUUUCUUCCUCCUCCCUUCUUUUCUCCCCAGAAUCUCCUGUGCGAACCUCUUCUGUGCAGACACCUUCCCACCCAACCUCAACAGAGCCCUGUGGGCCUCCCACGCUGUGCUGUAAAUGAAAAUACAGCAGAAUCAGAUCUGUCCAAUAAAUCCUGAUUGAAGGCCAGAACUGAAAGUAUUUCUUCUGAGGCUGAGAAAAAUUCCAUCUCAAACAUUGAAAGGGUAGAAAUAGGCAGUGAAGUCCUAGUGCCUGCUCUGUUUGGCCUUUCUGGGUUAAAAACAUACUUAAAAUUGAGUGACUCUGUUGUGGAAUAAAAUCCAAACAAUCUGGGUUGAAAAAGACUGCUUAGGGGUGUGUGGGUCACAGUGAUGCUAAGGGUAUUCUUUUUUUUUUUUUUUUUUUUUUUUGAGACGGAGUCUUGCUGUUUCGCCCAGGCCAGAGUGCAGUGGCGCUGUCUUGGCUCACUGCAAGCUCUGCCUCCCAGGUUCAUGCCAUUCUCCCGCCUCAGCCUCCCGAGUAGCUGGGACUACAGGCGCUUGCCACCGCGUCCGGCUAAUUUUUUGUAUUUUUAGUAGAGACGGGGUUUCACCAUGUUCGCCAGGAUGGUCUCGAUCUCCUGACCUCGUGAUCUGCCCGCCUCGGCCUCCCAAAGUGCUGGGAUUACAGGCAUGAGCCACUGCGCCCGGCCCGCUAAGGGUAUUCUUGAUAUCCGCUGGGAUAAUGUGACCACAGGACACCUUGCUUGCUUUCUCCAAGAAUCUCAAGAAGACUACAAACCCCAAGAAGGGAGGCAUCUUGUUCAAGAUCAUGUUGGGGAUAGAAGACAGAGUGAGAAUGAGAAAGCAGAGAUGUUCAUUUGUUUUAUGAACAUUUACUUAUCUGCCAAGGUCUGUAGCCCUGGCCUUCCCUGUGAAGAGCAGCAGCCUGAACCAACGUUCAGUGGCCGGGGCUGCCGAGCCAGGACCUUACGGGGCUGCAGCCUGUGCUGACCCAGGGCCUCCACAGUGCUUUGCUUGCAGAUCCCCC
rnacentral:lncRNA from 1 species